rnacentral:rRNA from 1 species
GUGCCAGCCGCCGCGGUAAUACGUAGGGUGCAAGCGUUAAUCGGAAUUAUUGGGCGUAAAGCGCGCGUAGGUGGUUCAGUAAGUCGGAUGUGAAAUCCCCGGGCUCAACCUGGGAACUGCAUCCAAAACUGCUGAGCUAGAGUACGGUAGAGGGUAGUGGAAUUUCCUGUGUAGCGGUGAAAUGCGUAGAUAUAGGAAGGAACACCAGUGGCGAAGGCGACUACCUGGACUGAUACUGACACUGAGGUGCGAAAGCGUGGGGAGCAAACAGGAUUAGAUACCCUUGUAGUCC